ensembl:processed_transcript 4930500F04Rik RIKEN cDNA 4930500F04 gene
CGGCCUCCCUAGACACUUAUCAUCUGCCCUGUGCGAUAGGAGGCUGGACCUUGGAGAUGUUCCUGGGCUUUUGGAAAAGCAAAGUGAACGAAAAAUCCACUCUGAUGGGACGUGAUGAGAGGUGGAGAAGCAAAGACUUGGGGCUUUUGAAAGUGAAGUGGAUUUUUGAAUGCUAAAAAAAAAAUCUGUAAUUUCCAGUUUUAAAGAACUGCCUAUAAGGAUAAUUGAACAAAUAAAAAGCUCACUUUUUG